rnacentral:rRNA from 2 species
GUUUGAUCAUGGCUCAGAUUGAACGCUGGCGGCAGGCCUAACACAUGCAAGUCGAACGGUAACAGGAAGCAGCUUGCUGCUUUGCUGACGAGUGGCGGACGGGUGAGUAAUGUCUGGGAAACUGCCUGAUGGAGGGGGAUAACUACUGGAAACGGUGGCUAAUACCGCAUAACGUCGCAAGACCAAAGAGGGGGACCUUCGGGCCUCUUGCCAUCAGAUGUGCCCAGAUGGGAUUAGCUUGUUGGUGAGGUAACGGCUCACCAAGGCGACGAUCCCUAGCUGGUCUGAGAGGAUGACCAGCCACACUGGAACUGAGACACGGUCCAGACUCCUACGGGAGGCAGCAGUGGGGAAUAUUGCACAAUGGGCGCAAGCCUGAUGCAGCCAUGCCGCGUGUAUGAAGAAGGCCUUCGGGUUGUAAAGUACUUUCAGCGGGGAGGAAGGUGUUGCGGUUAAUAACCGCAGCAAUUGACGUUACCCGCAGAAGAAGCACCGGCUAACUCCGUGCCAGCAGCCGCGGUAAUACGGAGGGUGCAAGCGUUAAUCGGAAUUACUGGGCGUAAAGCGCACGCAGGCGGUCUGUCAAGUCGGAUGUGAAAUCCCCGGGCUCAACCUGGGAACUGCAUUCGAAACUGGCAGGCUUGAGUCUUGUAGAGGGGGGUAGAAUUCCAGGUGUAGCGGUGAAAUGCGUAGAGAUCUGGAGGAAUACCGGUGGCGAAGGCGGCCCCCUGGACAAAGACUGACGCUCAGGUGCGAAAGCGUGGGGAGCAAACAGGAUUAGAUACCCUGGUAGUCCACGCCGUAAACGAUGUCUACUUGGAGGUUGUGCCCUUGAGGCGUGGCUUCCGGAGCUAACGCGUUAAGUAGACCGCCUGGGGAGUACGGCCGCAAGGUUAAAACUCAAAUGAAUUGACGGGGGCCCGCACAAGCGGUGGAGCAUGUGGUUUAAUUCGAUGCAACGCGAAGAACCUUACCUGGUCUUGACAUCCACAGAAGAAUCCAGAGAUGGAUUUGUGCCUUCGGGAACUGUGAGACAGGUGCUGCAUGGCUGUCGUCAGCUCGUGUUGUGAAAUGUUGGGUUAAGUCCCGCAACGAGCGCAACCCUUAUCCUUUGUUGCCAGCGAUUAGGUCGGGAACUCAAAGGAGACUGCCAGUGAUAAACUGGAGGAAGGUGGGGAUGACGUCAAGUCAUCAUGGCCCUUACGACCAGGGCUACACACGUGCUACAAUGGCGCAUACAAAGAGAAGCGACCUCGCGAGAGCAAGCGGACCUCAUAAAGUGCGUCGUAGUCCGGAUUGGAGUCUGCAACUCGACUCCAUGAAGUCGGAAUCGCUAGUAAUCGUGGAUCAGAAUGCCACGGUGAAUACGUUCCCGGGCCUUGUACACACCGCCCGUCACACCAUGGGAGUGGGUUGCAAAAGAAGUAGGUAGCUUAACCUUCGGGAGGGCGCUUACCACUUUGUGAUUCAUGACUGGGGUGAAGUCGUAACAAGGUAACCGUAGGGGAACCUGCGGUUGGAUCACCUCCUUACCUUAAAGAAGC